GGGUGUGAGGAUGAGUUGGCUGUGCCCUGUCACCCCUUGAUUGCCAGGGUUCAUUCAGCGAUCUGGAUGGCCAGGAGGAUGUACCCAUCCUCCUUCACCAAGCCACGUGCAUCCCUUGCAAAGCUGUGGGCUCAGGUGAAGACCCUUGUCCCCACUACAGUGUAUAAGCAGUGGAGCUCCCCUACUAGCACCUCCAAAUAAGCUCAUGAAAAUCUUUGCAGAGAUUAAAAUACAACUCUGAAGAGCAGAUUCUUCUGAAUCUUCACAUUUUAAGGAAACUAAAUUUGUAUACUAUU
rnacentral:snRNA from 1 species